CGCCUGUCUCAGAACGUGUCUGAUGGGCUGUCAUGUGGUAAGGAGAGCGAGCCUGCUCUGUGCGGCCGCAGGGACCGGAACAAGACAGACGGAAGGCGGCGACAGGCCAACAGAUGCAGAUUCGGGAAGGAGACUUAUCAGAGCCGCCCAGCCGUGGCCGGGAGUCACAGCUAACAUUUGUCGAGCCGGCACGCUGUGCCAGGGACCGGGCUGAGCCCUCUGCGCACCCGGCCCUACGUGCUGCUUAGAACGCCCAGGAGCGAGGCCGACAUCACGGGCGUCGUACGCAUUCCUACCGUGGGGACAGGCACAGAGCGCGUCGGCGGCGCGCCCGACGCCGCUCCGUCCUCUGAGAAGCUGGGAUCGGCGCUCUGGCCGCGACGCCAGGUCCUGCCCCUGGUGACCGUCACAGCUCCGAUCUGGGAUGAAAACAUCAGAGUCCAAGUGAUUUCCCGCAGGAAUCAUCAGCACAGAAUCCGGAUUCUGGCCCAGAAAUUGCCAUCUCCUGCCAUGGUGACCUGAAGACUUUCACUUUGCAGAAAGGCGCUCAGCGGAGGCCGCCGAUGCUGUGUCCACCAGACAGAGAGCGGUUUCCUCUCCCAGAUCUCCUGGUAGGAGCCCCGAUCCUGGGCAUUGGGGCUGCGCGCACGACCUAAUCACCUCCGAGGGCCAUCACAUCGGGCGCCCAGCCCCUGUGGACAAGCACCCCUGUUCUGGGACAGCCACGUCAUCCAAAGGACCCCGACACCUGGUCUAGAGAAGCUCAUGGGGGUGAGCUCUGCCGCAGGACAGGAUGAGGCAGGGGACGGGGGGCGGGCGGCGGCCCGUGCGGGAUGUGUCUGCAGCUCUGCGUGCUUUGCUGGGGUCCCGCUCCGUCCUCUUCACCGCUCCUGGGUGAGACCCCAACAUGCCCCUUCUCACGUGUAGUCACUGGGGCUGCAGGGUGUGGUGGUGGCUGCAGCGGCGGGAGCCCAGCUCCGUCCGGGUGUCCAGGCUCGGACCCGCAGUCCCCGGAGGCUGAUGCCAUGUGGCCACCUGCAGGGUGUACCCGGCGUGGGGCCGUGUUUCUGUCACGGAAGAGGUCCCUGCAUGGUCCCGAGGCCCUGUUCCCCUCUGUCCCCGCCCCACGUGGUGAAGGACUUGCCCACUCUCGGACAGCUCUGUCCUCCACCCCCAUACCUCCCCGGGUGAGCCUGGCUUUGCUGUGAUGGAUUUCUUUUCAUAUAAAAUUUAGGAAGUCUUAGGAGGGAGGGAGGGUUGACCUUUCAAACACACAGGAAUGUUUGUUCCCAUCACUCCCGGCAGAGUGAUGGGAAGUGAGGAGGGGGACUCGUCCCGUCGCCGGAUACGCAGGAGCUGAGCCAGCGUCCACACUGCCUGGGACACCAGCCCUGGGUUCCAGGGCACCUCCCUCCCUCUGCCUUCUGGCAAGGCUCUCUUUUGGGCUGUUUUCUGUCCCCUGGUGACAUCUGUGGGGGCAGUGCCUCCCACGGACAUGCCCCGCAGAGGAGAGCCCCGUCAAUCUAGAGUAAGUCACUUGGGGUUUUCCAGACCAAGAAGACCAC